rnacentral:tRNA from 1 species
GGCCUCGUAGCUCAGCUGGUAGAGCGCGCGCCGUACAAAAGUGCAGGCAGCGUCUAUGCGCGGGUUCUAACCCCACAGAGGCUA